rnacentral:lncRNA from 1 species
UUCCCAGCAGGGCCCCCCACUCUCGACUGUGCUCACCGAACAAUGGAUCCACAAAGAGGCUUCCAAGGCUAGUGACCAACCCAGCACUGUGGAACAAGGACAUCUUGAACAACUCUCCUACCACGAGAGCGUUUUGACAUCCCAGAGUGGCGCACUGUGAGUGAGGAUCGCCAGAGCUGAAGAGAAGUAGAGAUGCCUGUGUUGUCACGUAUCUCUCUGGCUGCUGGUUUGGGCCCAGGCUGCAGGAGGCCAUGACUGAGGCUAACUCGGCUUCCAGCUCUCCACCACACCCUGCUGCCUCAGGCAGAAAAGCCUCCACAACUCGCCUGGAAAGGCGCCUCGGGUGCCCUGCCUCCCCUGCUGCUGGACCCCCCGGCCUGCCCGCAGGGUUCAGGUUUCCCCUAGUCAGCUGUACCCACCGAGCUGGGAAACUCGGCUUUCCAGAAACAGUUCGUCAUUUUUCCAUUCGGAAAACUUUGCUGCUCCCGCCCCUGUCCCCUGCAACCAAAGCUGAGCACGAAGCACGCGGCUAUUCUGGAGCUCAGGAGGCCCACGAGCCGGGGCAGGGUGGGUCUCACCUGCUCAUAGCUAUCCACCACCAAACUAUCCCUUUCCACAGCUGGCCAUGCUACUUCCUCCUUAGGGAUCCUCCCUGCCCUCCACGCGUGCUGUAUCAUCCAUAGAUCACACCUACAGCCCGCCCACCUGCUUUAGUCCUCUGCCUUGCUACGUAGGAAGGAGCACGCCCAGGCUGGAGGCCCCGGAGCACCUUGGGAAGAGGGGAGUAGGGCUGAGACUCAUGCUCCCACCUUCGCUGCUGAGUUUCGCCCUACACUCCUUCUUGAGGUGACCCCAAGAUCCAGCUAAUUGUUUUCCCCAAAGUGCCUGACCUGCGUGAGACUCAGAGGUCUAGAUAUGUCACAACCAAUCUCCAUGUUCCCCCAAAGGACUGUUAUUCUCGAGCCCUGUAUAAAUCUCUGUCCACAUGUGACCAGGGGGUCUCUUCAUUCGGUCUUGGAAAAAAAAAAAAAAAGAACUAAAAUUUGAUGGCCAUCA